rnacentral:rRNA from 1 species
CCUACGGGAGGCAGCAGUGAGGAAUAUUGGUCAAUGGACGCAAGUCUGAACCAGCCAUGCCGCGUGCAGGAAGACGGCUCUAUGAGUUGUAAACUGCUUUUGUACGAGGGUAAAUCCCGAUACGUGUAUCGGGUUGCAAGUAUCGUACGAAUAAGGAUCGGCUAACUCCGUGCCAGCAGCCGCGGUAAUACGGAGGAUCCAAGCGUUAUCCGGAUUUAUUGGGUUUAAAGGGUGCGUAGACGGUUGGAUAAGUUAGAUGUGAAAUUCCGGGGCUCAACUGCGGCACUGCCUUUGAUACUGUCGGUCUAGAGUUUAGUUGCGGUAGGCGGAAUGUGUGGUGUAGCGGUGAAAUGCAUAGAGAUCAUACAGAACACCGAUUGCGAAGGCAGCUUACCAAACUACGACUGACGUUGAGGCACGAAAGCGUGGGGAGCAAACAGGAUUAGAUACCCCUGUAGUC